GGGUUGUGAGGUUAAGCGACUAAGCGUACACGGUGGAUGCCCUGGCAGUCAGAGGCGAUGAAGGACGUGCUAAUCUGCGAUAAGCGUCGGUAAGGUGAUAUGAACCGUUAUAACCGGCGAUUUCCGAAUGGGGAAACCCAGUGUGAUUCGUCACACUAUCAUUAACUGAAUCCAUAGGUUAAUGAGGCGAACCGGGGGAACUGAAACAUCUAAGUACCCCGAGGAAAAGAAAUCAACCGAGAUUCCCCCAGUAGCGGCGAGCGAACGGGGAGCAGCCCAGAGCCUGAAUCAGUGUGUGUGUUAGUGGAAGCGUCUGGAAAGGCGCGCGAUACAGGGUGACAGCCCCGUACACAAAAAUGCACAUACUGUGAGCUCGAUGAGUAGGGCGGGACACGUGGUAUCCUGUCUGAAUAUGGGGGGACCAUCCUCCAAGGCUAAAUACUCCUGACUGACCGAUAGUGAACCAGUACCGUGAGGGAAAGGCGAAAAGAACCCCGGCGAGGGGAGUGAAAAAGAACCUGAAACCGUGUACGUACAAGCAGUGGGAGCCUCUUAAUGGGGUGACUGCGUACCUUUUGUAUAAUGGGUCAGCGACUUAUAUUCUGUAGCAAGGUUAACCGAAUAGGGGAGCCGAAGGGAAACCGAGUCUUAACUGGGCGUUAAGUUGCAGGGUAUAGACCCGAAACCCGGUGAUCUAGCCAUGGGCAGGUUGAAGGUUGGGUAACACUAACUGGAGGACCGAACCGACUAAUGUUGAAAAAUUAGCGGAUGACUUGUGGCUGGGGGUGAAAGGCCAAUCAAACCGGGAGAUAGCUGGUUCUCCCCGAAAGCUAUUUAGGUAGCGCCUCGUGAAUUCAUCUCCGGGGGUAGAGCACUGUUUCGGCAAGGGGGUCAUCCCGACUUACCAACCCGAUGCAAACUGCGAAUACCGGAGAAUGUUAUCACGGGAGACACACGGCGGGUGCUAACGUCCGUCGUGAAGAGGGAAACAACCCAGACCGCCAGCUAAGGUCCCAAAGUCAUGGUUAAGUGGGAAACGAUGUGGGAAGGCCCAGACAGCCAGGAUGUUGGCUUAGAAGCAGCCAUCAUUUAAAGAAAGCGUAAUAGCUCACUGGUCGAGUCGGCCUGCGCGGAAGAUGUAACGGGGCUAAACCAUG
rnacentral:rRNA from 1 species